CCAGCCUACCGCGCCUCCGGUCCCCUCAUCCCUGGUGCCUGUGGCCUCGAUGCUCCAGGGUUCCAAGCCACCGGGAGUUUCAAGUGCCCUUUUCAAAGAAAAAAUAACAUUUGGAGAAUGCAGCUGCGGGGCGGAAGGCGCCCAACCGGGUCGGAGUGGGCGCUCUUGGCUCGCUCCGGGCUCCCGCCUGCCUGGUGUUACCAUGACCCCGACGUAACCAGUUUGGAAAAUGAGCCAGAUCGUGGAUCUGAGCGCUUUAACUUUGCGUGCGGAGCAGCUUAAUUAGUGUGCUAGCAACAAAAGCAACAAACGGCGGCAAUUGCGCUCUGACAGCCACUCCCCACAAAUGCCUUUCAGUUGCCACUUUGCAGGGUGGUUUGGCUUUUUGAAAGGUCUGGGGUUCGUCUUGCGGGGGCUGAUAACUGCUGUGAGUCCUGCCUGCAGUUUUCUGCCCCAGAUUCACCUUUUCUGGAGCGACCAGUACCGUAUGCAGCGCAGGACCCUCUUCCAACAUUUUCAGGGUGCGAAGCCCGUCAUGGUUUUCUGUCCCGGGAAAAAAUGAACUAUUGGGAUUCUGAUUUGUGUCCACCAAGACGCUGGCACCCAUGCUAUAGAAACGGUUGUUCUCCGGAUUUAGUAAACUUUGUAAAGAUCUAAAUUUAGAGUAGAGUGAAUGAAGGAAUCUUUGUAGAUAUCCUAAGUAUCACUUAGCAAUCUCUUGAAAUGUGAGGCUUCUGGGGGUUACAUGUUUGCCCGUAGAGUUAUGAAAGACCUUUUUACCUAUUAGGAAGUAACUGAUAUUACUGACCAGGAAACUGAAUGGGACAUCCAUUUUACCGUGCUUUUAAAGGGGCGGGGGGAGCAAGCUGUGCUGUAGGCAUCCCUUUUCCAGCCAUAUCUAUUACCCCAGAGCACAGGGACAGAUUUCCCUGUCCUGAGUCCCUCAGUCUGGUGACUAGCACUGCAACACGGGGAAAUGUAAUGGUCAGGCUUUGGUUUACAAUUGCUUUAUUGGGGGGGGGGGGGUCCUCUUGAGCCAAACUGUUUCAACAGUUCCAUGUGAGAGAGAAACACGGGCUGAGGGAGCCAGGCACCAUGACGAGGAAACAGCAGCUUGAGCCAGUGUCUAUUUAAGGGUAGUGGAAACUGAGCAAGUGCCGAGAACUGUUCUCAACUUGCUGGGCUCUGUCUGCUUCUGCUUGGUCAACAAGUUUCAGGCUUCCUUUGGUUUUUAAAUCUGUUUAGAGCUUGUUUUAGUGUUUCCUAGGUACAAACUGUUGCCAGUAACAUUUCAGGUUUUGUUUUGUUUUUUUUCUAAAAUUGAUACUGUUCCAUGCUAAUGUAAAGGUCAAGUUGGACAGGUCGUGGGUGCUGACAUUAUAUUACAUAGGAUUCCAGAUGAUAGGAACUUAAUUCACUGUUCUAUUUUACUCCUGGCUGGAAAUUACCAAGGAGAUUUCCCAAGUGUGAGGAAAUUUGGAGAAAGCCUUUAUAUGGGAAUUCUAUUCAAAGGUAGCUUUUUAGUCUUUGAGGUAACUAGUAGGUAACCACAAUAAAAGAUGCUCUUUACAUAACAAACGAACAAAAAAACCCAAAUCAUAAAGAGUUCAUUGAUAUUCUUAACGUUGUUCUUCUCACUUUUCUAUCAGGCACAGUCCAGUUUAAGAUGCUGAUGAGCUUCAGGUCUGGUGCUCGAAAGACAAUCGUGGUGUUUGAAAGAAGCUUUUCAAGUAGAUACAGUGUAUUUGAACAUAUGGCGAUUGAAUAGAGGCUUUUGCUCUCUUUGUCCUUUUCAUGGUAGUAGCAGGGGGGAAUUUUGAGAAGGUGCCAAAUAUCUGUAAGAACAUAUAUCUACCAGCACCAUAGAGAAUUUUGUAGAAUUCUGUUCUAUUAUUUAGCCUUUCUGCCAACCAGCCCUAGCCUGAAGCUUGACAUAGUAACUAGACUAUUCUACCACUGUCUUAACAACACUGUCACUUGUGCCUUAAUUUGCAAAGAUUAUUUUUAAAUCCUAUUCCUUUGACUGCCCUAAAGAUACAUUUCAAAGCAUCCUUUUAAAAAUACAGUUUUAGGGGUGCCUAGGUGGCUCUUUCAGUUAAACAUCCAACUUCAGCUCAGGUCAUGAUCUCAUAGUUCAUGGGUUCGAGCCCCACGUUGGGUUCUGUGCUGACAGCUCAGAGCCUGGAGCCUGCUUCAGAUUCUGUCUCUCCCUCUCUAUCUGCACCUCCCCCACUCACACUGUCUCAAAAAUAAAUAAAUGUUUAAAAAAGUUUUUUUAAUAAAAAUAAUUUUAUAUGCAUACAAAUUUUUCCAUAAUACAUUAUUUCAACAAUUAAAUUUGAUCCUUUUGACAGAAAACAGAUAAAUGGCUUAGUAACGAUUGGCAAGGGUAGGUUGCAAAGGGGCAUGAGUGAGUUUUGAAGAAGUGUUUUAUAUCUUUUUUUAAAUAUUUAUUUUUGAGAGAGAGAGACAGUGUGAGCGGGGGAGGGGCACAGAGUGAGAGACAGAAUCCCAAGCAGGCUCCAUGCUCUGAGCUGUCAGCACAGAACCCAAUGCAGGGCUCGAACCCACAAACGUUGAGAUCAUGAUCUCACCUGAAGUCGGACACUUAACCAACUGAGUCACCCAGGAGCCCCGGAAGUGUUUUAUAUCUUGAUUAUGGUGGCACUCGCGUUUGUCAUAUUUCAGGGGUGUGUUUUACUAAAUGUAAACUACACUUCAAUAAAUGUGAUUUUUAAAACUUAA